UACGUAGGGUGCAAGCGUUGUCCGGAAUUAUUGGGCGUAAAGAGCUCGUAGGCGGUUCGUCGCGUCGGCUGUGAAAACCCGGAGCUCAACUCCGGGCCUGCAGUCGAUACGGGCGGACUAGAGUUCGGCAGGGGAGACUGGAAUUCCUGGUGUAGCGGUGAAAUGCGCAGAUAUCAGGAGGAACACCGGUGGCGAAGGCGGGUCUCUGGGCAUUACCUGACGCUGAGGAGCGAAAGUGUGGGGAGCGAACAGG
rnacentral:rRNA from 1 species